AUGCGCUAUGAUGAGCGGUACACAUCGUAUGUAAGGGAGGCAGGACUUCUCCCUUUCAUUCAGUUGGUCCGCCGGUCGACGCCACCCAACAAUGCUGCAGCACUCACCGCGCUUAUUGAUCAUUGGAGGCCGGACACACACACUUUCCAUCUUCGGACCGGGGAGAUGACCGUGACGCUGCAGGAUAUUGCUAUGAUCACCGGUCUUCCUAUCGAUGACAAUCCUUUAUCUAUGAACACCGAUUCUGAUGGGUGGCGCGCGCAGAUGCAAGCCCUUAUCGGUAUGGUUCCUCCGGAGCCUCGGGAACCAGAAGCAGAAGAUAAGAAGAAGGAAAGAGUCGCAGCGGGCGCUACUUUCACGUGGAUAUCAUCGAACUUCUGUUAUUGCCCUGAUGAUGCUAAUGAGGACAUGGUGAAGACAUAUGCUCGUGUCUACAUGUGGUACGUGAUAUCCAGGACAAUGUUUGCUGAUGGCACAGGCAAGAAUGCUCCAUGGAUGUGGCUGAAGGCGUUGACCGUCUUCGAUAGCAAAUAG
rnacentral:rRNA from 1 species